CAGUAAAAAUUAGGGAAAAAAAUAAUGUUCAAGUAUUACAUAUGUUAUUGGCCUGUACCAGAUGGCCACAGAACAAAUUAAAAAAAUCAAAAAAAGAAAAAAAGUUUUUGAAGUCAGCAUCAUUAGAUGACUUGGUUGCAGAUAGUCAUUCGUUAAAACCUCGUCCUCCUGUUAUACUGCUGCAAACUUCAAAGCUUAAAGGUAUCAAAAAAAAAUUUCAUGCUUUGAAAUUAAGCCGUAGUAACACAGACUUAAUGAUAGAGACUAAUGGUGCUGAUAUCAAUGGAAAGUCUUUUGAGUUAUUUGGUUCUGAAAAUAAUCAAAAACAAAGUUUUGAACACAAGCAAAGUGUUUCAAGUAAUAUUAAUGAUCUCAUUGUUGCAGACAACUUUUUAUUCAAUGACCAGAUCAUUUGUGACGAUUUGAAUAAUUAUGAGGAUGUUGUUGAUGGUCACUCUGCAGCAGAGUCUACAAGUCAUGAAAUAGAACGACUUCAUAAGAAAAUUGAAAAAUUAAAAGAUGAACUUGUACAGUUGCAAGCUACAAGAGAUGAAAAUGUUAAAGAAUAUUUAUCAACAUGCGACAAUCCAAUAUUAACAGAGGUAUCUUCAAAAGAUAUUGCACAAAAAAUGAGAGUUGUAUUUGAAAGAAACAAUCAAAAGACAAAUAACAGUAUUCAUAUGCUUCAAAAAAAGUUAGAAAAAUUUCAAUCACAGUUAAAGGAGUUGGAAGAAAGAGGCAUACAGGGUCCGAGGAGAAUUAUUAGGGCAGUACAGGACUCAGUAAGAUCAGGUGCCUCCAGUAUUCAUGAUGCUGUUACAAAGCCAUUAGAAUCCAUUAACCAAUUUAUAAAGAAAGAUAAGAAGAAUGAUUCUGAAGCAAAAAUAACAGAUGAAGAAGAGAUCGAAAAAUGUUACUUGAACAUUAGAAGCAGUGAUGAUGACAGUUCCAGUUUGGGUUCUAAUCAAUUGCUGUGUUCGCAUGCUUCUUUACCACUAUUCAAUAAAAUAUUAUAUAAUCCAAAUGAAGACCAGAUUAAUGAGUUAGUUGCUGCCAAUGAAAAGUUAAAUGGAACUGUUACAGAAAUGAAGUGUUGUUGUGGACAACUAUAACAACUCAUGGUUUGUGAGUUACCAUGUAUGGAAAUUCUUAGUUUUCUGAUGCAGUUUGUGAAUGAGCAAAAGUUCAAUAAUGAACAACUGCAAGGACAAGUGACAAAUAUGCUUGGUCAAUGGCAUGAUAUUUCUGAACUUCAUCAAAAUGAAAUGGCAGCUUUAAAACAAGAAAUGGAGAACUCUGCUGAAAGAAUAGAAUGUUUGGAGUAUCGGUUUACAGAACGAGUCAAUGAAAUUGAAGAACUUAUUGACUCCUGUAC
rnacentral:misc_RNA from 1 species